rnacentral:rRNA from 1 species
CACGUAGGGGGCAAGCGUUGUCCGGAUUUAUUGGGCGUAAAGAGCUCGUAGGCGGCUCGGUAAGUCGGGUGUGAAACCUCCAGGCUCAACCUGGAGACGCCACCUGAUACUGCUGUGGCUAGAGUCCGGUAGGGGAGUGUGGAACUCCUGGUGUAGCGGUGAAAUGCGCAGAUAUCAGGAAGAACACCCGUGGCGAAGGCGGCUCUCUGGGACGGUACUGACGCUGAGACGCGAAAGCGUGGGGAGCGAACAGG